rnacentral:rRNA from 1 species
CUAAUACAUGCAAGUCGAACGCUUUUUCUUUCACCGGAGCUUGCUCCACCGAAAGAAAAGGAGUGGCGAACGGGUGAGUAACACGUGGGUAACCUGCCCAUCAGAAGGGGAUAACACUUGGAAACAGGUGCUAAUACCGUAUAACAAUCGAAACCGCAUGGUUUCGGUUUGAAAGGCGCUUUUGCGUCACUGAUGGAUGGACCCGCGGUGCAUUAGCUAGUUGGUGAGGUAACGGCUCACCAAGGCAACGAUGCAUAGCCGACCUGAGAGGGUGAUCGGCCACAUUGGGACUGAGACACGGCCCAAACUCCUACGGGAGGCAGCAGUAGGGAAUCUUCGGCAAUGGACGCAAGUCUGACCGAGCAACGCCGCGUGAGUGAAGAAGGUUUUCGGAUCGUAAAACUCUGUUGUUAGAGAAGAACAAGGAUGAGAGUAAAGUUCAUCCCUUGACGGUAUCUAACCAGAAAGCCACGGCUAAC